rfam:Microgenomates bacterium GW2011_GWA1_48_10 TY21_C0015, whole genome shotgun sequence.
CGGGGAGUGGCGUAGUGGUAGCGCGCUAGGCUGGGGGUCUAGCAGUCGGAGUUCGAUUCUCCGCUCCCCGA